rnacentral:tRNA from 1 species
GCCGUAUUAGCUCAAUGGAUAGAGCAAUUCUUUACCAAAGAAUAGGUUGUGGGUUCGAAUCCCACAUACGAAA